CCCCCCCCUUGCUAUGUGCAGGGUUGCUGACCCGACCAGACCACCAGCCCAGGUUGCCCAGAGCCAUGUCCAGCCUGGCCCUGAACAUCUCUAGGGAUGGCACACAGGGAUCCACAACCUCUCUGGGCAUCCUGUUCCAAUAGAGAAUAGUUGAAGUCCACUACUGGUCUUACAAAUGUCAUUCUUGGAGAGCCUCACAUCUGACCAACAUACUGCCACCCAAACCAUUCCUUGCCCAGCACAGAGAGUGCAGUUACUUAAUCAGACUUCCUGCGUUAGCCCGUUGCUGAACUGACAAAGCACGCAUCAUGCUGGCAACAGUGUAUGGUCACUUAAGUGGUUGACACCCUUACAGCUACUUAUGACUCCAGCUCGUGGAAAAGUUACAAGAGGAGGAGAGAAAGCAAAGUCAAGAGAGGCAGCAAUGCAUGCCAUCUUCCGUGCUGGUGAAGGACAAAGCAGCCCUGGUUUUAACUGUGCCCACUUCCUCACAGCCAGAUCCUUGCUUUGCGCCUAUUUGGAGGCCCAGGUUUUCAGGGCCUGAUCUUCAUCAAAGACAAUUAGCUGCCUGCUGGCCUCUUCCAUCCAGUCAAAAGGUGAAAGCUGGGAUAAGAUAUCUUCUUCAGCUUUGCAUCUGCUACUCCAGAACUUGUUCAAAUAGCACAACUGGUGACCACAUUAGUUUAUUUUAUCACUCAAGCUUUGAUGCACUGAUAACAAACAUAUCAGCAAAACUCUGGGACACAUUCACUAAUAAUAAACAGAUAACUAAACCCUGCCUGAGAGUUUGUUGGAAAAUGGGAAAUGCUUUCUCCAUAACAUAUUGUUGCAAAACUAUAAAAAUAAAUAGUGAAAUAUUUCCAUAUAUAACCAAAUACGACAUCAAAUAAAUAAAGCAUUCUAGCCUCCUCAAGCAGGGGGGAGACCAAUCUAAGUUCCAUGCCUGUAAUAAGUUCCUGCAGACCAAGAGCAGAGUCAAUCCAAGGACUUCACAGAGAUCCAUUGAUCAGAUCUACAGGCACAGUUUUAAGGUUCUUCUCAUCCAUUUUUUUCUGUCAUGAUACUCUGAUGUGCCUUCCUCUGCUCUUAAAGUCUUGACAUUACAUGAGAUGCUCAGGCUGCAUUGAAGAUCUCUAGUCUGUACCCUGGAAAAGAGAAGUUUGAAAUAUAAAACACAAUCUUUCUUCAAUAAUUACUUUGAUAUUAUAAACCUCAUGAUAUUAAAACCUGUCUCACACUUUUGGACAGGGUAUGCCUCUAUGAGUUUCAUACACUACUUCAAUAUAUACCAUCCUAUAACUGAAUUCUGAACUUGUUUUUAAGUUAUUACUUAAUUUUCCCAAAUCCAACAUAAAAUUUUUCAAGUACAGAUUUAAGAUUUUUAUUUGGCAUUACAAACUCUUAACCAAUUAAGGGGAAGAACCCAGCAAGGACGUGCUCCUUUUAACUGUUUUAUCUUUAAAUAAAUAAUUUUGAAGGCAAAAGAAGGAAUGACUUGAACAAUCCCACUUAAUCUCUGAGUGAUACAUUGUCUUCUCCAGGCUUCAAAACAACGCCUAUAGACUUUGCUUCAUAGGCUAAUCUUAAUUAGCUGGGUGGUGCAAGCUCUCACUCAUUAGGACACUUAAUGGCUUGCUUAGCUCUGUAUGCACUGAACUCCCAGCUGCUCAACCCUGCUGUUUGCCAGCCCUGUGGCUGGGGGAACUCUGCACACCUGUGAGCCUACAGCAGUGUAGGAAACAGGACUGGGGAAAGCUGGGGGCUGGAAGAAGCAUGGAGCUAGCUCUUGGUUCCAACGGCUGUGUCCAAACCUCAGCAACAAAGCUCUGAGUUAUUGCAUAGAGAAAUGUAAAGCCUGGACAAGAAAAGGGUGGGAAGGGAAUAGGUUUGCAUAAAGGCAAACCUGUGGGUACCUCUGCUGUGAAAAACCUGCUGAUUCAAGAGCACUUGCAGGGAGGGGCCGCCUUGCAUAUUCACUACAGAAUGGCUGAGAUUCCCUUCUGCUAAUACUCCCCUUUCCCCCUGCUCCCAAGGGCUGCUUUGCCACCCUAUAUGAAGCCCUUUUUGGCUCGUUCACUAAAUCUUCAGCCUGCCUGCUCAGGGUUAAGUACCCUCAACUAAGGUAUGAUCCUCCACCACGUGCUCUGGUUCCAGAGUUGACUCAUAAGUAGAAGAGUCCUUAAGCCUCAACAAGCAGAUUGAAAACCUCAGUAAACAAGCUCAAGAAGAGAAACUCAGCAAGUCCAAGUCUCCAGCUACACUGCAAUGAAAUGCACUUCAUAAAUAUAUAUUUAAAAGGAGGCUUUUGCUGACUUUGCUAUGAUUUACACUAUGUAUAUGUUGUUUCUCUUUAAUUCUCCUACCAUCCUAGAACCCUUCCCAGUCAAAGGUGGGUUUAAUUAAAAUUCAGUCCGGUUGUUACAAUCCCAUAAUUAAAUAUGGAAGCCACUAUGCAGAAUUACUCAUUUUUCCUCUAAAAGAAAAAAAAAGAGUGAAUUCUUGUUAAAAAAAAAAAAAAAGUGUUUCUGCAAAUCUAUCAAUAUAAAUGUUCUGGAGGUAUAUUGGAUAUAAACUUACAUAAUCUUGGGUAUAUUUAAAAGUUUCCAUGGAAACCAUUUCUUUGUCAAAAGAACAACGUUGCUGUGGGUUAUUUGUAACACACACCUGGUCUCAUCCAGCUCACCUAUCAGGACCAGGAGGUGACUCCGCUGCUCACCAAGCAAACUGACUUCGGUGCUUUCAGUUUCUCACAGCCAGAACAGAAGGAGCACUGUCACAUUCCUUCAUUAUCCGUAAAUAGAAACAAUAACAGUAAAUCAGUUUAGGUAACCAGACCCCCUGAAAACAUCCUCCAGCCUGUCUCCCUCUCCAUGCAGGGACCAUCCGGUUAUGUGGGUGGGCAAGGUCCCAGGUCUCCUUAAGCAAAGAUUAUUAUUCUGCAUGUUGCAGGCUUUCCCUCCAGAGUAAGCUGCUCUUCUAAUAAAUGCUGUUCCGACAGCAGUGUUGCAGCUUGCCAGGAGCAGCUCUCAGUGCAGGGCGGCUGCAUCUGCAAAGGCAUCUUGAAAGUUGCAGUUCUAAUUCUCACACCAUUUGUCUUCCCUUUUACCCAGUUCUUCCAGGGGAAAGAAGAGCCCAGUCUGACCUUCCUCCCACCUCCAGAAACACUCCAAUAACAGGAGCUGUAAACUGUAGCUGGGUUUCUAUCUGACAGCAGCUGAGAGUCAACAGCAGCCCAUCUUAUCCACUUCAGAAAUGAGCCCUGGCUGAUUGGACAAAUAUUUCCUAUUUACCAGCUUUUCCCCCCUCCUGGAUAAUUCUAGGGUUAAUCCACCGCACCACCUCCUCAGCCCAGCCCCGUGAUAUUGACACUUAAGAAACACAGAGCUGUUUAUAUUUCAUUGGAGAGCUCAUACUAUCAAUUUUCACAUUAGUGAGUCUAGCUAUUGCUCUCUUCUAUCGGGAUCUAUUGAGUGGUGGCAGUAGAGAUAUCCGCUGUAGUGAAGGAAAAAAAAAUACUUAGCUGUCUGAUGAAAUGUUUUAAAUGCAUAGGGUUCACCUUGGGGUUGGCUGCUGCUCAGAUUUUAUCCAUUAAUAACACGCAGGGCUGCCACACUACUCUCCAGGGCUGAUAGGAAAAAUAGUACCACUUACAGAUCCCCUGGUUUGCCUCAGGGAGAGUGCACCAAAUGCAGCACAUAUCAUACAUUUUGGGGCUGAAAUUUACUCCACAAGAGAAAAAAAAAAUCCAAACAUUAUUUAUAUUAAGAAACAAACCCAACCCUAUUCCUGCAGCACAGACAAAGGGAAGUUGUCAUGUAGUCCAGUAGUUGCAGAACUCAAGUGCUUUGCCUGGGCUAUGAAACACCUCUGGGCAAAACAGGGAUAAGAUUUCAUUGUAAAGGGACUUUUUCUUUUAGAUUACAGCCCUGCAGGUUGACAUUUCAUCCACCAGGCAGAAGAAUCUGAACUGUUAUAAGGAGCCAAAAGAGCGGACCCUCCAUCAGCCAUCGUCUUUCCAGCACAAGCAACUCAUUUAUUUAUAUUUUUUUCUACCAUUGAAACAAUUCACAGGAAAAUGAUCAUCAGAAUGAGAAUUGUUAACUGAUUAGAUUAUUGUUGGCAUUCAGUACAAGAACACAGCCAAGAGCUCAAGGGUAAGUAUUAUUGUCAUCUAGUGAUGAAGCUAAGAAAGGAUUCUGCACCCAAUUCCCUGUACAUUAAUGAUCUGAAGAUAUUUGGGCUGGGUUGCAUUGUUUUCCCCUUUCUUUCAAAGUGAGCCACAGAGCUCUCUGCUGCCAGGAAGUGUUAUUUAAGAAUAUGAGUUUCUUUUGUAAAGGGAAAAGCAUAAUUAGAUGUUAAGAGCUGAUUAUUGUAUUGUUCUCCACAGAGUUUUGCAAGAGGAACUACCUUUGAAGAAAGAAGGGAAAGUAUGUACUGUGCUUGGAAAGUGAGAGGUAUCUGGCUUCAAUAUUCUUUGUCUCCAUAUCUGAAAGCUUUUCACAAGAGAUGAGAAGUAAACCAACUUUCCACUGCACUCCACCAAUACAGCUAUUGCUGCAAGCAGCCCCACUUAUUUACAGUGCCUGUUGGUGGAACCUGGCACUAGAGUUUGCACUCAGAGCACCAACAAGAUCUCCCAUCUCUUCAAAAAGAACCACUUAAAACAGAAAACUAUGGGGUUUUUUUGUUUGUUUGUUUGGUUUUUUUUUAAAGAGCUCCUUGAAACAAGCCAAACUUGCAUCUGCACACUUCUUUUUACUGCUCCAUCCCCAGGGAGCAUUUGUACCUCAUUCUCCUCCCUUAGGACUCGAAAUCAAAAUAUUUCUUUUCUGUCAGGCAGCUCACACAGAGAAUUCUGUAAGCUGUAAGCACGGACGAGUAUAUAUUUAGCUUAUCCAAACUCAGUAAGAGACUAAGUGUAGGAGAUAGCUUAGGUAUGGGGCCACGUUGCACCUAGGAGACACCUGGGCUAUAAGCAGCAUCCACCAAGUACUUCUCUAUUUUGUGCCAUACCACAGAGGACAUACACUGUUCCAGUUUCUAUCCCCCCAGUAUAUAUUGAAAUAAAGUUGUCAAACCUCUUGUCCUCUGGAGGCUCCUGGAACAGCUCAGAGCAGAUUGGUCAACCACCACAGGCCUUCAGCUGCUGCCAGCUUCCAUUUGUUUUUCAGCAGCACCUGUGAGAGAAUACACAACUGAUGUGAGCACUCACUUCUUUAUUACUCUUCUCACCAAGUGAGAAGUGCUUCAGCCCUGCUUAACACCUCCUCAGAGCUCUUCCUGCUGCUAUUUCUUCAUCCUCAGGAUCUACUAUCUAUCUAGGUUAUAGAUAUAAUCUGAAACGCAGCUCAGCUCCCAG
rnacentral:lncRNA from 1 species